AUGGAACUGAUUAUUGAGGACGCUCUGAUAAGUGGCAGGGCGCUCCGCGUCCGCGACGAGGACCUGGUUGCCGCGUUGAGCCGUGCCAGGGGCUCGCCGGACGCGAGGUUCCUACUCCGGGUACUGCCGCUUCCUCGAGAUGACCGCGACAAUGUCAGAGCAGCUGCCCAGCCCCAGGGGCUGCUUGCCCAACGCAGGUUCAUGUGCCCUGAGCUUCAUCGCGCCGCCUUCUCUGGGGCGGCAAACGAUCUGGAGCGUCUUCUUCAAGCAGCAGCUCAGGAUCAUGAAGGAAGAGCACACGACGGCCGAUGCAGUCUCGACGAGGUCACCGCUGGAUGGAACACGGUCCUUCACAUAGCGGCCAGCCAGGGCCACGUCCUUCUGGUGAGAAGGCUCUUCGAGGGCACGCCGGCGGACGCUGCCGAGCUUCUCCCACGCAGGAACUCCAAGUCCGAGACGGCGCUGCACGUCGCCGCGAGGGCGGGGCACCAUGAGAUGGUCUCCCUCCUCAUCAGGCUGGCCCAAGACCGUAACCAUGGGCCAGGCGCGCCGCAGGUUCUGCUGUUGAGGAACAGCGGAGGAGACACGGCGCUGCAUGUGGCGGCGCGGCACGGGCGCCAUGCCGUGGUGGAGAGGCUGCUGGUGGCUGCUCCGGCCUUAUCGUGCGGUGUGAACGACGUUGGGGUGUCGCCGCUCUAUCUCGCCGUGUCACGCCGCUCAGCAGGCAUCGUGAAAGCUCUGGUCGGACGUAGGCACGCAGCUGCCUCUGCGUCUGGCCCCAACGGCCAGAAUGCUCUGCACGCAGCUGUUCUACAAAGCGCAGUAAUUACACGUGAUGUUUUGAGAUGGAGCCUGGAUCUGGCCAAAGAAACUGAUGGAUUGGGAAGCACUCCGCUGCAUUAUGCUGCGUCCGACGGCGACCGGGAGAUCGUCAGCCAGCUUAUUAGCUCAGCGCCGUCAGCCAUAUAUCUGCAAGACCAACAAGGCUUCACUCCUCUGCAUAUCGCGGCAUGGAUGGGCCACGUGGACGUCAUCCGCGACAUCUUACAAGCUUGCCCAGACUCGGCGGAGAUUACCGACAACAACGGCAGAAACUUCCUCCAUGUUGCCAUCGGACGCGGCCACGAAUCCGUGGUCAAAUACGUCGUCGGUAGCCCGUUCGCCGGCGGAGUGGUGAAUGAGCAAGACAAUAACGGGAACACGCCGCUGCACUCCGCCGUGCUUGCUGGGAAGCCAAAGCUUGCAAUUUUGCAGAGCGAGCUCCUUGACUUGAACAUUGCUAACAAUGAAGGGAGGACACCAUUUGACCUCGUCUCGGAUAUUACCAGCUUCUUGCCCAUGAUCGGCUUUGUGCUCAAGCUAUCAGCCUGGGGAGUUUGUAUCGGGACGCGACGCCAAGACUUCAUACUCCCGUGGAAGGGCGUAGAGAUGAAGGAAUGGAUCGAGAAAUUAUCCAAGAACCUAGGCAUUGUGGCAGUGCUCAUCGCCACCAUCGCCUUGACCGCCAUGUUCAACGUGCCAGGCGGAUACGACUCCAAGGGCAUGCCAAACCUGCGGGGUACGUUUCCUUACAACGCCUUUCUGGUGCUCGAUACUGUGGCGGUCGCUUCCUCCAUGAUCGCCACCAUGCUUCUCAUCUACGGGAGGGGAGCGGCGGCGCGGUCGAGUGCGGCGUGGAUAUGCUUGGCCCUCAUCUUCCUUUGGUGCGCCCUCAUGGGCAUGAUCCUGUCUUUCAUGGCCGCCGUGGUCCCAGGGCUGGACAAUGCUAUCUUGAUCAAAAGGGUCAUGUGGUGCAUCUUCGCGUUGCCGUUCUUCUCCCUGGUCGUGCUUAGCUUUGUGUGGGCAGCACCAGCACCGACCAUCACCAGCAUCGGCUUUGUGCUCAAGCUAUCAGCCCGGGGAGUUUGUAUCGGGACGCGACGCCAAGACUUCAUACUCCCGUGGAAGGGCGUAGAGAUGAAGGAAUGGAUCGAGAAAUUAUCCAAGAACCUAGGCAUUGUGGCAGUGCUCAUCGCCACCAUCGCCUUGACCGCCAUGUUCAACGUGCCAGGCGGAUACGACUCCAAGGGCAUGCCAAACCUGCGGGGUACGUUUCCCUACAGCGCCUUCUUGGUGCUUGAUACUGUGGCGGUCGCUUCCUCCAUGAUCGCCACCAUGCUUCUCAUCUACGGGAGAGGAGCGGCGGCGCGGUCGAGUGCGGCGUGGAUAUGCUUGGCCCUCAUCUUCCUUUGGUGCGCCCUCAUGGGCAUGAUCCUGUCUUUCAUGGCCGCCGUGGUCCCAGGGCUGGACAAUGCUAUCUUGAUCAAAAGGACCAUGUGGUGCAUCUUCGCGUUGCCGUUCUUCUCCCUGGUCGUGCUUAGCUUUGUGUGGGCAGCACAAGUACCGACCAUCACCAGCGUAGGGCUACUGUUCCGUGCCCAAAUCGAAGAAGACCGCAUGCGCACAAGACGGCACGCCGGGCGACGUUUCCCCCUAGUGGGUUUCUACCUCAGUGUUCUCUACUUGUUCUGGUUCGUCAAUGCUAUGGCUUUUGCUUUCACUCUGCAGAUCAUCAUGAUCACAGUCUGA
rnacentral:rRNA from 1 species